GGAAGGGGGAAGGGCCGGGUCGGACUUUUCCGGAGGCCGAAUUCUGCCGGCUGGCUUGCGCCUUUUCCUGAAUAUUCUCCUUUCAGGCUCUUUCACUUCUUUUCCUGGCUCCCUCCGUAGUUCUUUUGUGCCUUCCUCCUUUCCCACUACGCCUUCCCUGAUUUCCCAUUUCACCUCACGAUUUUCCUGUAUCUUUACUUGUUACUUCAGCUCCCUCCUCCAGCGUUGUGUCGUCCGACACUUCUCCCACCGGGUCGUGUAAGUGCCUUCAACCUCUUCUCUUGUUUCUCUUCAGACGGGAUUACGUCAGUGGUCCCCUCUUGGCCCCGAGCCGGGCUCUAGACCCCUUUUUCUUCCCUGGGUUGGCGCUUUUCUGUUGUCCAAAGCUUAGAUUCCCGGUAGCAGAUGAUGGCACUUGGUCUGUUUCUAGCUAGGUCUCAAACUUGACCCAGAAAAUGCUUCCACCCCCUUGUUUUAGGUGGUCGGACGCCCCCGGGCGAACUUUGAAACCUGAGGAGAGGCCUCCGAAGAUAGGCCAACCCCUUAGAGCCCUGGACUUUAGGAGACCUAAAGAGAGCACUUCUUAACCUUUUGGAGGUCACAGAUACCUUUGAAACUCUGAUGAAAGUAAGGAAGAUGAGGUCUGGAGAGGCAGAAAUUUCACCAGUUAAGUUUUAUUAUAAUAGUCACUCCCCUGCUUAAAACCUUUUAAUUGAUAUCCGGCCAAUCUCGUGAGCUUAGUUUCUCAUUCUCACACUCCAAAUACAGUGGCUUUAUUUCAUUUCCCAGAAUUUACAUAGGAUUUACUGUGUAGCAAACAUGGUUCAAAGCUGUUUGUAUACAUUAAUUGAUUUAAUUCUCACAGUAAUCCUAAGUUAAUAAGGUAAAUACCUGUAUUGUCCCCAUUUCUUUUUUUUUUUUUUUUUU